GAUGAACGCUGGCGGCAUGCCUAAGACAUGCAAGUCGAACGGGAUGGCCCAAUGAUUACUCGGAAUUCUCUUGUGCUUGCACAAGAGUUGGAAGAGUAUGAUUUGGAUUUUCCAUCCAGUGGCAAACGGGUGAGUAACACGUGGGUUACCUGCCUCUAAGACGGGGGAUAACAGUUGGAAACGAUUGCUAAUACCGGAUGUGCUCUACGGAGUAAAGAAGCCCUUAAAGCUUCGCUUAGAGAUGGGCCUGCGGUGCAUUAGCUAGUUGGUGGGGUAAUGGCCUACCAAGGCGACGAUGCAUAGCCGAACUGAGAGGUUAAUCGGCCACACUGGGACUGAGACACGGGCCCAGACUCCUACGGGAGGCAGCAGUGAGGAAUAUUGGUCAAUGGGCGAAAGCCUGAACCAGCCAAGUCGCGUGAAGGA
rnacentral:rRNA from 1 species